AUACGGAGGGUGCAAGCGUUACUGGGAAUCACUGGGCGUAAAGCGCGCGCAGGCGGGCUGAUAAGUUGGAUGGGAAAGCCUACGGCUCAACCGUAGAACUGCAUCCAAAACUGUCAGUCUAGAGUCUGGGAGGGGAAGAUGGAAUUAGUUGUGUAGGGGUAAAAUCCGUAGAGAUAACUAGGAAUACCAAAAGCGAAGGCGAUCUUCUGGAACAGUACUGACGCUGAGGCGCGAAAGCGUGGGGAGCAAACAGGAUUAGAAACCCUAGUAGUCC
rnacentral:rRNA from 1 species